GUCACUAUUUAGAGAAGGUAACCACCCAGUCGACAGUCAUGUGGCUCCCCGAUGUGGCUCACUGAGGCCACGUCUGGAUCUGGCCUGGUGGACGGCCAAGCCCUCACACUUUGCACCGCGCGUCCGUGGCCUCUCUUCCCGACCCCGGCGAACCAUCCCCCAGGGGAGGUGUCAGCCAGGGAAGAAAUUAGGCAGCCACUAAAGUGUCAGCUCCAGGGGCACCCGCAUGGCUCCGUCAGUUAAGCAUCCGACUUCAGCUCAGGUCAUGAUCUCUGCGGUCCAUGGGUCCGAAUUCGGCAUCAAGCUCUGUGCUGACAGCUUAGAGCCUGGAGCCUGUUCCAGAUUCUGUGUGUGUGUGUGUGUGUGUGUGUGUGUGUGUGUGUGUGUCUCCCCCUCUCUGUGCACCUCCCCCGCUCGCAUUCUCUCUCCUUCUCUCAAAAAGUAAACAUUAAAAACAAUUACAGAUAAUGCCGAGAUUACAGUCAGCUCCUCUAGAGGAGCCCAACACCUCUGAGUGUAUGAAGAGGUGACAGGAUGGAAAUAGAAGGAAAGAGCAUGAAGGUCUGAAUGGGGAGAGAGGAAAGUCAAAACAGAAAGAAAGGGAGAAAUCCUGAAAAAGCAGGGAAAACCAAACACAGACCAAUGUAAAAAGGAGGGCUGGGGAAGAAGGAGCCAUGGCUUGAGAAAGAAAAGGAGACAACACCAGCGAGAAGGAUCAAGAGACCUCACGGCAGGCAAGAAAGAAGUUUCCAAGCUGCUAUAAUUCCAGGACAAAAGUUACGGUAUUGGGGGCAUACAGAGUCAACGACUGCCUCAAACUUCCCAAAUGCUUCUGUCCUACUGGAUCCACAAUCAAGAAAAACAAGACCCUGAAAAGCCUCUGCAGCACCAGACCCAAAGCUCCAACGGUCUGUGCUAAGGGCUCAUCCCCCAGGCAUUCUAUGGCCAGGUUUUAAUCCCACAUGAUCCACAGGUGACGGAAAAACCACUGGAGAAGCCUCGACUAUUCCUCUCUUUGGAAGUCGAUUUAGUGAAGCUGGGACAAAGACCGCAAUUAGAGGUUUUGAUGUGAUUACUCACACUUCAGCUACUGCAAAAGCCGAAGGGGAGAAAGAAGGGACACCACCAGAUCUAAUUGGUACUUGCUCUCACCACACUGCCUCCGCCCGGGGACGGGUGGAGUCAGGUCUGCAAGCUGCCCGAUGCGCCCCUGAAGACACCUGCUGCUAGCCAACACCAUGAACUUCCCGAAGACAGGCAGUCUAUGUGGCCAGCUCCUGGGCAAGACCUCCGUCACAACCAGCUCGCAGCGUCACAACUAGCAGGCGCAGGCAGCGGCUCCCAGAGGGAGUGUUGCGGCUGCUGGGGCAGGGUGCGCUGAGAGUGGACACCUGCACUGUUUGCUUUUGUUUGACCCCAGACAAAGCCUGGGGCACACCCAGAAAGGGGGGACAGGGCUUUCAGUGUAAGCGGCUGCGGAGAGCUGGGCGAGGUCUUAGAAAAUGGAAGUAGGACAGAGCCGGCCUGGGACGGCAAUCUCCUUCACCAACUCACUCUGCUAAGGGGCCAGCUUCAACUUACAGUGACUGAAUCAUUGAUGAGGUUCAGUCAAAAGUUUGAUUUUGACCUUUCAGUUGCUUGUCGUAUCUUAAAAUACACAGAGAUAACAUGAAAAGUU